AGAGUUUGAUCCUGGCUCAGGACGAACGCUGGCGGCGUGCUUAACACAUGCAAGUCGAACGAUGAAGCGGGUGCUUGCACUCGUGGAUUAGUGGCGAACGGGCGAGUAACACGUGAGUAACCUGUCCUUUUCUUUGGGAUAACGGCUGGAAACGGCUGCUAAUACUGGAUAUUCAGGCUGCAUCGCAUGGUGUGGUUUGGAAAGGUUUUUUCUGGGAUUGGGUGGGCUCGCGGCCUAUCAGCUUGUUGGUGGGGUGAUGGCUUACCAAGGCUUUGACGGGUAGCCGGCCUGAGAGGGUGGUCGGUCGCACUGGGACUGAGAUACGGCCCAGACUCCUACGGGAGGCAGCAGUGGGGAAUAUUGCACAAUGGACGAAAGUUUGAUGCAGCGACGCCGCGUGGAGGGUGUAGGCCUUCGGGUUGUGAACUCCUUUUUCUCGCGAAAAAGGCACAGUUUUGGCUGUGUUGAUGGUAGUGGGGGAAGAAGCGCCGGCUAACUACGUGCCAGCAGCCGCGGUAAUACGUAGGGCGCGAGCGUUGUCCGGAUUUAUUGGGCGUAAAGAGCUCGUAGGUGGUUCGUCGCGUCUGUCGUGAAAGCCAGCAGCUUAACUGUUGGUCUGCGGUGGGUACGGGCGGGCUUGAGUGCGGUAGGGGUGACUGGAAUUCCUGGUGUAGCGGUGGAAUGCGCAGAUAUCAGGAGGAACACCGAUGGCGAAGGCAGGUCACUGGGCCGUUACUGACACUGAGGAGCGAAAGCGUGGGGAGCGAACAGGAUUAGAUACCCUGGUAGUCCACGCUGUAAACGUUGGGAACUAGGUGUGGGGAUGCUAUCCUGUGUUUCUGCGCCGUAGCUAACGCAUUAAGUUCCCCGCCUGGGGAGUACGGUCGCAAGGCUAAAACUCAAAGGAAUUGACGGGGGCCCGCACAAGCGGCGGAGCAUGCGGAUUAAUUCGAUGCAAUGGUUGUCGUCAGCUCGUGUCGUGAGAUGUUGGGUUAAGUCCCGCAACGAGCGCAACCCUUGCCUCAUGUUGCCAGCGGUUCGGCCGGGGACUCGUGAGGGACUGCCGGGGUUAACUCGGAGGAGGGUGGGGAUGACGUCAAAUCAUCAUGCCCCUUAUGUCUUGGGCUUCACGCAUGCUACAAUGGCCAGUACAGAGGGUUGCGAUACCGUGAGGUGGGGCUAAUCUCUUAAAGCUGGUCUCGGUUCGGAUUGGGGUCUGCAACUCGACCCCAUGAAGUUGGAGUCGCUAGUAAUCGCAGAUCAGCAUUGCUGCGGUGAAUACGUUCUCGGGCCUUGUACACACCGCCCGUCACGUCACGAAAGUUGGUAACACCCGAAGCCCGUGGCUUAACCUUUUUGGGGGGAGCGGUCGAAGGUGGGAUUGGCGAUUGGGACGAAGUCGUAACAAGGUAGCCGUACCGGAAGGUGCGGCUG
rnacentral:rRNA from 1 species